rnacentral:rRNA from 1 species
CAGCGCCACGGUAAUACAGAGGGUGCGAGCGUUAAUCGGAUUUACUGGGCGUAAAGCGUGCGUAGGCGGCUUUUUAAGUCGGAUGUGAAAUCCCUGAGCUUAACUUAGGAAUUGCAUUCGAUACUGGGAAGCUAGAGUAUGGGAGAGGAUGGUAGAAUUCCAGGUGUAGCGGUGAAAUGCGUAGAGAUCUGGAGGAAUACCGAUGGCGAAGGCAGCCAUCUGGCCUAAUACUGACGCUGAGGUACGAAAGCAUGGGGAGCAAACAGGAUUAGAUACCCCCGUAGUCCCUGUCUUUAUACAC